CCCUGCCUACCUGAGACUUUGCAAAGUAACAGAUCUGCGUUGCCAUUGCAGCAAGCCAUAUUUCUGCAGAGUUGCAUUGGGCUGACUAAGGCAUGUCUCCGUCCUUGCAGAGCUCAAGAACUGUUAAGACAAUGAUCAACACAACAUAACUUCCAGGAUCCCUUUUGUGUUGCGCAUAUAUCUCUUGGCUGCUGAACAAAAGGUCUGUCUCAUUUUUAUGGCUGCUUCAGUCUGUUUCUUAUUCAAGUCUGUGUCAUUGCACCAAUGUGCAAGCUGGUCUUCAUCCCAUAAGUGCCAUGCAUGUGGACAUUAGCAAAUGAAGAACAAGAAGUGCACAGAAGAACUAGAAUUUUUUAACUGGCAGUGAGAAACAUGUUGGGUGAAACUGUGGCUCCGCUGUGAUAAUGGCAAAGAUCUCCUUUUGAAUUCAGUAAGACCAAGAGAAACAGAUCUCAGAAGAGAAGAGAGAGAUUACUUUAAGAGGCUUUUAUGGGAGCACAUGGAAAACAGUGUACCCCAAACCAUUAAAAAUGAUGGGAAGUGCAGGUCUUUAGUCCUAACCUCUUUAUGCCUAAGAAAACAUAUUGUGUGCAGUUCUGCUCUUUUUCUAAUAGGUGGCUUAAGAAGAUGAAAGAGACAGUGUUGCUCUAAAAAUACUUGGUUCUCCUUAAAAUUAUGUACCUACCAUUCUUUCUUAGCAGCUGAGCUAAUUAAAUGAGGAGCUAAAAUACAUCCUUGUUUUAGCUUUGCUCAGUGUGCUUCAUUUAAGGAUUACAGGCCAUUGCUGAAUAAUCGGACUGUUUCUCCCAGUGAGCCAGUUCCCAUCCUUUCCUGGCUAUUAGUGUGCUUUCACACAGCAGUAAGAGGGAGGUGAAAAAAUGAAAGGAUUUCUACAAAGCAAAACAAACCAGCCAAAGCCAGUGGGUGAACACAGAGGGAAGUCUGCUAUACUGAGCAGACUGUCCACUUAAUAAAUGUGCACUCAUUCCACCAUCUUUUUUAAGUUCCAAAUGUGAGGUUGUGUUGAAAGCAGACUAACUGCAGAAAGUAUAUUCUCUUUAAGAAGUGCACUGAAAAACAGUCUAAUGUCUGUACAACUGUAUUCUGCUGGGUGAGGCCAUGGUUGGCCUAAACUCCAUCUUGU